CCUACGGGUGGCAGCAGUGAGGAAUAUUGGUCAAUGGGCGGGAGCCUGAACCAGCCAAGUCGCGUGAAGGAAGACGGUACUUAGUAUUGUAAACUUCUUUUGUCGGGGAACAAAGGCGGAGACGCGUCUCCGGAUGCGUGUACCCGAAGAAAAAGCAUCGGCUAACUCCGUGCCAGCGGCCGCGGUAAUACGGAGGAUGCGAGCGUUAUCCGGAUUUAUGGGGUUUAAGGGGUGCGCAGGCGGGGGAUCAAGUCAGCGGGAAAAUGUCGGGGCUCAACCCCGGCCGGCCGUUGAAACUGGUUGUCUAGAGUUGGAGAGAAGUAUGCGGAAUUCGUGGUGUAGCGGUGAAAUGCAUAGAUAUCACGAAGAACUCCGAUUGCGAAGGCAGCAUACCGGCUCCAUACUGACGCUGAGGCACGAAAGCGUGGGGAUCGAACAGGAUUAGAUACCCGGGUAGUC
rnacentral:rRNA from 1 species